rnacentral:rRNA from 1 species
CUAAUCAUGCAAGUCGAACGAAGAUCCCGGAAGCUUGGCUCCGGGGGACAGUGGCGAACGGGCGAGUAACACGUGAGAAACCUGCCCUAGAGACCGGGACAACCAUUGGAAACGAUGGCUAAUACCGGAUGCCUUCACAUGGUCGCAUGGCCGAGUGAAGAAAUGCUCAGGUGCUCUAGGAGGGUCUCGCGGCCUAUCAGCUAGUUGGUGAGGUAACGGCUCACCAAGGCAUCGACGGGUAGCUGGUCUGAGAGGACGAUCAGCCACACUGGGACUGAGACACGGCCCAGACUCCUACGGGAGGCAGCAGUAGGGAAUCUUGCGCAAUGGGGGAAACCCUGACGCAGCAACGCCGCGUGUGGGAUGACGGCUUUCGGGUUGUAAACCACUUUCAGUGAUGACGAAAAUGACGGUAAUCACAGAAGAAGGUCCGGCCAACUACGUGCCAGCAGCCGCGGUAACACGUAGGGACCGAGCGUUGUCCGGAUUUAUUGGGCGUAAAGAGCUCGUAGGCGGUUCUGUAAGUCGGAUGUGAAAACUCAGGGCUCAACCCUGAGACGCCAUCUGAUACUGCAGUGACUAGAGUCCGGUAGAGGAAGGUGGAAUUCCUGGUGUAGCGGUGGAAUGCGCAGAUAUCAGGAGGAACACCAAUGGCGAAGGCAGUCUUCUGGGCCGGUACUGACGCUGAGGAGCGAAAGCAUGGGGGAGCAAACAGGAUUA